UACAGAGGUCUCAAGCGUUGUUCGGAUUUAUUGGGCGUAAAGGGCGCGUAGGCGGCGGGGUAAGUCGGGUGUGAAAUCUCAGGGCUCAACCCUGAAACUGCACUUGAUACUGCUCUGCUUGAGGACUGGAGAGGAGACUGGAAUUCACGGUGUAGCAGUGAAAUGCGUAGAUAUCGUGAGGAAGACCAGUGGCGAAGGCGGGUCUCUGGACAGUUACUGACGCUGAGGCGCGAAGGCCAGGGGAGCAAACGGG
rnacentral:rRNA from 1 species